GCAAGCGUUAUCCGGAAUUAUUGGGCGUAAGAGCUCGUAGGCGGUUUGUCGCGUCUGCCGUGAAAGUCCGGGGCUCAACUCCGGAUCUGCGGUGGGUACGGGCAGACUAGAGUGAUGUAGGGGAGACUGGAAUUCCUGGUGUAGCGGUGAAAUGCGCAGAUAUCAGGAGGAACACCGAUGGCGAAGGCAGGUCUCUGGGCAUUAACUGACGCUGAGGAGCGAAAGCAUGGGGAGCGAACAGGAUUAGAUACCCUGGUAGUCCAUGCCGUAAACGUUGGGCACUAGGUGUGGGGGACAUUCCACGUUUUCCGCGCCGUAGCUAACGCAUUAAGUGCCCCGCCUGGGGAGUACGGCCGCAAGGCUAAAACUCAAAGGAAUUGACGG
rnacentral:rRNA from 1 species